AGUCGAGCGAGUCUGCCUUGAAGAUCGGAGUGCUUGCACUCUGUGAAACAAGAUACAGGCUAGCGGCGGACGGGUGAGUAACACGUGGGUAACCUGCCCAAGAGAUCGGGAUAACACCUGGAAACAGAUGCUAAUACCGGAUAACAACAGAUGAUGCCUAUCAACUGUUUAAAAGAUGGUUCUGCUAUCACUCUUGGAUGGACCUGCGGUGCAUUAGCUAGUUGGUAGGGUAACGGCCUACCAAGGCGAUGAUGCAUAGCCGAGUUGAGAGACUGAUCGGCCACAUUGGGACUGAGACACGGCCCAAACUCCUACGGGAGGCAGCAGUAGGGAAUCUUCCACAAUGGACGCAAGUCUGAUGGAGCAACGCCGCGUGAGUGAAGAAGGGUUUCGGCUCGUAAAGCUCUGUUGUUGGUGAAGAAGGACAGUGGUAGUAACUGACCUUUGUUUGACGGUAAUCAAUUAGAAAGUCACGGCUAACUACGUGCCAGCAGCCGCGGUAAUACGUAGGUGGCAAGCGUUGUCCGGAUUUAUUGGGCGUAAAGCGAGUGCAGGCGGCUCGAUAAGUCUGAUGUGAAAGCCUUCGGCUCAACCGGAGAAUUGCAUCAGAAACUGUCGAGCUUGAGUACAGAAGAGGAGAGUGGAACUCCAUGUGUAGCGGUGAAAUGCGUAGAUAUAUGGAAGAACACCGGUGGCGAAGGCGGCUCUCUGGUCUGUUACUGACGCUGAGGCUCGAAAGCAUGGGUAGCGAACAGGAUUAGAUACCCUGGUAGUCCAUGCCGUANACGAUGAGUGCUAAGUGUUGGGAGGUUUCCGCCUCUCAGUGCUGCAGCUAACGCAUUAAGCACU
rnacentral:rRNA from 1 species